GCGCCCGUACUCCAACGGUAGAGAGAGCGGCUUUAGGUGCCGUCAAGUGUGAGUUCGAAUCUCACCGGGCGCA
rnacentral:tRNA from 1 species